GACGAACGCUGGCGGCGCGCCUAACACAUGCAAGUCGAACGAGCGAGAGAGAGCUUGCUUUCUCAAGCGAGUGGCGAACGGGUGAGUAACGCGUGAGGAACCUGCCUCAAAGAGGGGGACAACAGUUGGAAACGACUGCUAAUACCGCAUAAGCCCACGGUGCCGCAUGGUACAGAGGGAAAAGGAGCAAUCCGCUUUGAGAUGGCCUCGCGUCCGAUUAGCUAGUUGGUGAGGUAACGGCCCACCAAGGCGACGAUCGGUAGCCGGACUGAGAGGUUGAACGGCCACAUUGGGACUGAGACACGGCCCAGACUCCUACGGGAGGCAGCAGUGGGGAAUAUUGCACAAUGGGGGAAACCCUGAUGCAGCGACGCCGCGUGGAGGAAGAAGGUCUUCGGAUUGUAAACUCCUGUUGUUGGGGAAGAUAAUGACGGUACCCAACAAGGAAGUGACGGCUAACUACGUGCCAGCAGCCGCGGUAAAACGUAGGUCACAAGCGUUGUCCGGAAUUACUGGGUGUAAAGGGAGCGCAGGCGGGAAGACAAGUUGGAAGUGAAAUCUAUGGGCUCAACCCAUAAACUGCUUUCAAAACUGUUUUUCUUGAGUAGUGCAGAGGUAGGCGGAAUUCCCGGUGUAGCGGUGGAAUGCGUAGAUAUCGGGAGGAACACCAGUGGCGAAGGCGGCCUACUGGGCACCAACUGACGCUGAGGCUCGAAAGUGUGGGUAGCAAACAGG
rnacentral:rRNA from 1 species